GAUGAACGCUGGCGGCGUGCCUAAUACAUGCAAGUCGAGCGAACAGACGAGGAGCUUGCUCCUCUGACGUUAGCGGCGGACGGGUGAGUAACACGUGGAUAACCUACCUAUAAGACUGGGAUAACUUCGGGAAACCGGAGCUAAUACCGGAUAAUAUAUUGAACCGCAUGGUUCAAUAGUGAAAGACGGUUUUGCUGUCACUUAUAGAUGGAUCCGCGCCGCAUUAGCUAGUUGGUAAGGUAACGGCUUACCAAGGCAACGAUGCCUAGCCGACCUGAGAGGGGGAUCGGCCACACGGAAACUGAGACCAAGACAAGAAACCUACGGGAGGAAGCAGUACGGAAUUUCACGCAAUGACGGAAAGCCUCACGCAGCAACGCCGAGUAAAUGAAAAAGGUCUUCGGCCCCUAACAAUCGGUUAUUCGGAAAAAACAAAUGUGUAAGUAAGUGUGCCCGACUAGACCGUAACUAAUCGGAAACCGACGACUAACUACGUG
rnacentral:rRNA from 1 species